GAAAUUUGAGAGGAGUUGACCCUAGUACGAGAGGACCGGGUUGAACAUACCUCUGGUGUACCUGUCGUGGCGCCAGCCGCGCAGCAGGGUAGCUAUGUAUGGACGGGAUAACCGCUGAAAGCAUCUAAGCGGGAAGCCUCCCUCAAGAUAAGAUUUCUUAGAGCCGUGGAAGACCACCACGUUGAUAGAUCGGAUGUAGAAGCGCGGUAACGCGUGGAGCUAACCGAUACUAAUUGCUCUAUUCGCGCUUGAA
rnacentral:rRNA from 1 species